UACAGAGGUCUCAAGCGUUGUUCGGAUUCAUUGGGCGUAAAGGGAGCGUAGGUGGCGGGGUUAGUCAGGUGUGAAAUCUCGGGGCUCAACCCCGAAACUGCACUUGAUACUGCCUUGCUAGAGUACUGGAGAGGAGAUUGGAAUUUACGGUGUAGCAGUGAAAUGCGUAGAUAUCGUAAGGAAGACCAGUGGCGAAGGCGAAUCUCUGGACAGUACUGACACUGAGGCUCGAAGGCCAGGGGAGCAAACCGGG
rnacentral:rRNA from 1 species